CUGUGAAUAAAGGACAAUUUUGAAGGGUUUCUAGAAACCACACAGCAAUUCCUUGAAUUACUUUUUAUCUCCAAAGAGCUGGAUGUCCUCCACACCACAACAAUAAUUAGAUAAGGGCUUUAUUUUUUUUGUCUAGGAUUUAAAGGGACAUGAUAACAGAGGUGCACCGGUUAAUUUGGAUAAUUUUGGUUGAAGUUAAGUGAUGGGACUUGGAUUUUAAGCAGGGACCGCAGGGAGGAAGACACAACAGCUCUAAAUGCCACAUAGGAGGACAAAGGCUGACCUCUUUGACGCUACCUGUGGGGGAAAACAGAAAGGAGGGGUGUGCUGACAUUUUACAAGAGAGAACUGCAAAGAUGUUGCACACACAAACAUGGAUUUAUCUAAUGCAGCUCCUCUGUGUUUUACACACAUGCGAAGACAGACCUUUAAAAAUCAACUGUGAUGCUCAGUGGUGAUGGGUUGUUUGUAUUUUCAAAGGCUUUAUUAUUUAGUCAAUAUAGUCUCAUCAAUGCAUCGAUGGAGAAUUAUUACAAAAGCAUGGCUUUCAGGAUUGCUGUGUUCUUUUGGUUGUCUGAAUAGAGGACUUUAUGUUUCUUAACGUUAGUUGGAUUUCUGGGGCAUUCAAAGCCAGAAUUGAAAUGGCCUACUAGCUUCACGGUGUUGUUUGUCCCCAUCCUAAAUAUUUUGAAUACUUGCUGUCCGCUAAAUCCCCAGUUCUACUUGAUAAGUGUCCUUGCACCUCUGUUGGUAUCUAGUGUAGUUCUUAAGUGGUUUUAUUUGUAGUUGCCUGGUUUUGUUGUGUCUCUUUGACCUUUUUUACGUGUGGGAGGCCUCAGGGGUCAAUACUUGUGCCUUUUUCAUCUUCUCAACUGGGAGUCAUUUUGUUCCUCUUCGCCUGCCAUGCCGUCUGGUGGAGUUCAUGUUAAUUUGAUGAAAUCAGUUGUUCCCAAAUAAUCAGGAUGAUCGUUAUGGUAUAGAAUAACAGGUAUUUGGAAUGAUGUAGAACCCUGGCAUUUUCCAGACACUCGUAAUCUGCAAUGGAAAUGAGUCAUUUAUUUUAAAUCUUACCAAUAUAUUGUAAGUUGAACAUAGAAGCUUUUUUUUUGUGGCUGAAAUCUAUCGGACAUUUUAGCAAACAUUUUAGCUAGUAUUCUAGCAAACAUCUAAAUCCUUUCAAGUCAGAAGAAUGGUGUUUAUAAAGUGAAAAGAUUACUUGGGAAUGAAUAAUUUUGGUCUUAACUGUGUAGGAAAAAUAAGAAAAUAAAAGCAGCAAAAACAGAAGAAAUCUGUUGGUGCGCAAAUACUUUUUCACAAACCAACUAGUCUAAACUCUUCACUCCCAAAUCUUCAAAUCCAGGUAUUUUUUAUUAUUUAUUUUUAUAGACUUAAAGUAAAUGUGUUUGCUUUAGCUUAGGCUUGAAUGUCCCCCUGAGGACAAUUAGGACUCAAAUAAGAUCAUCUUUCUCCUAAUCCUUUUUGGGUGUCAAGUUAGCUCACUCGUUUUUAUUUGUUAAGAUUAACAUUUAAGUGCAAAAUAAUUGAGCACCUUUUUGAAUCCUUCAGAAGUUGCCCUUGAAAAUGUUUUGUUUCACUAUUUAGCCCCUCACUUUACAUUGAAAUUGGGCCCGUUAAUUAAUAUUCUGUUCCUGAAUUUGAUAUCUUAGCCCACACAGAACACCUCAGCCUUUCCAGCAUCAUAUCAGCUUUGGAAAGUGUGGCAGGACACCACUGGAUAUCUUCAUCUGGUUAUCUUAAGUCCAUUAAUCACAGAGCCAGCCUGUGGGCAUAACCGGUGAUCUUUGAAAGGGACAGAGUGACCUGCAUCGGUGUGAAAUGCGCUCGGAGGCGGGAUGACACCCACCCCUUCAUACAGUCCAAUGAAGGGAACAAAAUGUUGUAUUCACUCGACAGAUAAUUCAUGCCCUCACUUGCCAAAUUAAUCAAGU